rnacentral:rRNA from 1 species
AAUGAACGCUGGCGGCGUGCUUAACACAUGCAAGUCGUACGAGAAACCCCGGCUUGCCGGGGGAGUAAAGUGGCGCACGGGUGAGUAACGCGUGGGUAAUCUACCCUCGAAUUGGGGAUAACACACCGAAAGGUGUGCUAAUACCGAAUAAGACCACGACCUCCACGGGGGUUGCGGUCAAAGAUGGCCUCUGCUUGCAAGCUGUCGUUUGAGGAUGAGCCCGCGUACCAUUAGCUUGUUGGUGGGGUAAUGGCCUACCAAGGCAACGAUGGUUGUCGGGUCUGAGGGGAUGGCCAGCAACACUGGAGCUGGAAAACGGUCCAGACUGCUACGCGGGGCAGCAGUGAGGAAUUUUGCGCAAUGGGGGAAACCCUGACGCAGCAACGCCGCGUGAGUGAAGAAGGCCUUCGGGUUGUAAAGCUCUGUCAAGAGGGAAGAACCUUUUUCGGCCGAAUACGCCGAGAAACUGACGGUACCGCUGAAGGAAGCACCGGCUAACUCCGUGCCAGCCGCCGCCGUAA